GAUGAAGAACGCAGCGAAAUGCGAUAAGUAGUGUGAAUUGCAGAAUUCAGUGAAUCAUCGAAUCUUUGAACGCACAUUGCGCCUCCUGGUAUUCCGGGAGGCAUGCCUGUUCGAGCGUCAUUAAAAUCACUCAAGCUUAGGUUUACCUAUUGCUUGGUCUUGGAGAUGGAAGCCAAUUUAUUGGAAUCCUCUUCGAAAUUCAAUGGCGAAGACCCUUGCUCUCCCAAGUGUAGUAAUAACUUAUGUCACUGAAGGAAGCGAGAAAUCUUCUGCCGUAACCCCCAUAUUUUCUAUGAUUGACCUCGGAUCAGGUAGGGAUACCCGCUGAACUUAAGCAUAUCAUAAGCGGAGGA
rnacentral:misc_RNA from 1 species